GAUGAACGCUGGCGGUGUGCCUAAUACAUGCAAGUCGAGCGAACGGACGAGAAGCUUGCUCCUCUGAUGUUAGCGGCUGACGGGCGAGUAAGACGUGGAUAAGCAACUUAUAAGACUGGGAUAACAACGGGAAACCGGAGCUAAUACUGGAUAAUAUUUUGAACCGCAUGGAUCAAAAGUGAAAGACGCUCUUGCUGUCACUUAUAGAUGGAGCCGCGCUGCAUUAGCUAGUUGGUAAGGUAACGGCUUACCAAGGCAACGAUGCAUAGCUGACCUGAGAGGGUGAUCGGCCACACUGGAACUGAGACACGGUCCAGACUCCUACGGGAGGCAGCAGUAGGGAAUAUUCCGCAAUGGGCGCAAGCCUGACGGAGCCACGCCGCGUGAGUGAUGAAGGUCUUCGGAUCGUAAAACUCUGUUGUUAGGGAAGAACAUCUGUGUAAGUAACUGUGCACAUCUUGACGGUACCUAAUCAGUAAGCCACGGCUAACUUCGUG
rnacentral:rRNA from 1 species